rnacentral:lncRNA from 1 species
GCCGCAGGUACCCCAGUGUUGCUCUCCUCUCUCCACCCUGCAGGCCCACAGUGCCCCCUGCCCUUCUCUGGGUUGGAGGUGGCUGGUGGAGUGAUCCUCUGUGAGGGAGCCUCGGGCCCAGGGGGAGCUGCCGAGCAGCAGUGCCGGGUGCUCUGCCGCCAGGGCUUCCGGAGCGCCUUUGCCCUGGGGCCACUGGUGUGCAGCCUGGACAGCCGUCGCUGGGUGACACAGCCUCCACCGCCCCGGGCCUGCCAGCGUGAAGACAUACGGGACGCUGCUCUCCAGUCCUGCCUGCACGGACUCCUCAGUGCAGGUGGGGUGUCUGGCUGCAGAUCGUCUAGGAGUGAAUGUCACUUGGAAGUCUCAGCUUGAGGACAUCCCAGUUGCCUCUCUUCCUGACUUACAUGACAUUGAAGAGUCCUUAGUGGGCAAGGAUUUCCUUGGGCGCUUCGCAGAUCUGAUCCAAAGUGGCCUGUUUCAACUUCAUGUGGACUCCAAGGUGUUCCCGGCAGACCCCUCCAUCCGCUUCCUCCAGGGGGACCGCUUGGGCACCUCUCCCAGGACAUGGUUUGGGUGCUUGGAAGGAUUCUACCGAGUGUCGGCCUCCAGCAAUGCCAGCGAGGACCUGCUGGGGUGUGGUAGGUGCACA